rnacentral:lncRNA from 1 species
AUCCCCUUUCUCUGACAAUUCAAAUAUCAACUUGCAUAUUUUAUCCCUAGUAGCUUUGUAGCUGUUGGCCAAGUGGGCCAUAACAGCUAACUCAAGGUUAUAUUCUCGUCAUAGUUUACUCCUACAUUUCUGAAAAUGUAUUGCCACACAUCAUCUAUAUUUCAAGUCUUCAUUCCCAAAUUCUAAUGGUUUUUUUUCCUCAUUUUAGGUUAUAUGUGGUAUAUAAUUGGCUCGAUAUAUUUACCUUCGUCACUUGGUGUUGAAUAUCAAGUUAAUGCUUUUUUCUUUCCAA